CCUACGGGCGGCUGCAGUGGGGAAUAUUGGACAAUGGGCGAAAGCCUGAUCCAGCCAUGCCGCGUGUGUGAAGAAGGCCUUCGGGUUGUAAAGCACUUUCAGUGGGGAAGAAAGCCUUGGGGCUAAUACCCUCGAGGAAGGACAUCACCCACAGAAGAAGCACCGGCUAACUCCGUGCCAGCAGCCGCGGUAAUACGGAGGGUGCGAGCGUUAAUCGGAAUUACUGGGCGUAAAGCGCGCGUAGGCGGUCUGAUAAGCCGGUUGUGAAAGCCCCGGGCUCAACCUGGGAACGGCAUCCGGAACUGUCAGGCUAGAGUGCAGGAGAGGAAGGUAGAAUUCCCGGUGUAGCGGUGAAAUGCGUAGAGAUCGGGAGGAAUACCAGUGGCGAAGGCGGCCUUCUGGACUGACACUGACGCUGAGGUACGAAAGCGUGGGUAGCAAACAGGAUUAGAUACCCCGGUAGUC
rnacentral:rRNA from 1 species